UACAGAGGUGGCAAGCGUUGUUCGGAAUUACUGGGCGUAAAGGGCGCGUAGGCGGCCAUCUAAGUCAGACGUGAAAUCCCCCGGCUUAACCUGGGAACUGCGUCUGAUACUGGACGGCUCGAGUUUGGGAGAGGGAUGUGGAAUUCCAGGUGUAGCGGUGAAAUGCGUAGAUAUCUGGAGGAACACCGGUGGCGAAGGCGGCAUCCUGGACCAACACUGACGCUGAGGCGCGAAAGCCAGGGGAGCGAACGGG
rnacentral:rRNA from 1 species